AUUUCCGAGGAGCGUUGCAGCACCCCAAGCCGGGUGCGAGGCUCGGAAAUCCUUUCCUCUGCAACGACGCUCACCCACG
rnacentral:ncRNA from 2 species